rnacentral:lncRNA from 1 species
UGUUUGGCUGUGUGCUUCAGCGAUUUGAAUAGAAUAGAUCUGUGUGAUCUUGGAGGAUUCUGUGUGAAUCGAGAAAAAUAGAUCUGUGAUAUUUGAAGAUAAAUGUUCAAAUAUGUAGUAACCAUUGUUGUUUCCUACAUCCCUUAUGGUGACCAAAAUGUUCAUAGGAUGCGGUGAUAUACCACAUCGCUAUGUAUGACAUCUAUUUUCAUACACAAGAUAAGUCUUCUCAUCACUCGACCGAUCAGAUUCGGUAUCUACGUUCACGCGUGCCACGCGGACGUAGAUAAGUUCUUGCCGGUGGGAGUAUUUGAUAAGGGAUCAUGAAUCCGAUUUGUGUGUGGAUGGAUAGAGACGGUCGUGGUUCAUUCUCAUUCCAUAUUCAAGAGAUUUUGAAGAGUUUUGGACCUAUCACGACGUUAAAAUUGAAGGUUCAUUUGGUUUAAAGAUGUUGAAUCCAUAGCCACUACCGUGGAAUAAAGUAGAGGAAUAAAGCAAAAACUAGAGGAAUAAAGUUAUUCCGAUUCAAAUGCAAAUUACCGAUUCAAAUGCAGGGCCGGC